UACGGGGGGAGCAAGCGUUGUUCGGAUUUACUGGGCGUAAAGGGCGCGUAGGCGGUCACGACAAGUCAGUUGUGAAAUCUCCGGGCUUAACUCGGAACGGUCAACUGAUACUGUCGGACUAGAGUGCAGAAGGGGCAACUGGAAUUCUCGGUGUAGCGGUGAAAUGCGUAGAUAUCGAGAGGAACACCUGCGGCGAAGGCGGGUUGCUGGGCUGACACUGACGCUGAGGCGCGAAAGCUAGGGGAGCGAAUGGG
rnacentral:rRNA from 1 species